AGAGUUUGAUCCUGGCUCAGGACGAACGCUGGCGGUGUGCUUAACACAUGCAAGUCGAACGGUAAGGCCCUUUCGGGGGUACACGAGUGGCGAACGGGUGAGUAACACGUGAGUAACCUGCCCUCAUCUCUGGGAUAACAGUCGGAAACGGUUGCUAAUACUGGAUAUGAGCUUGCAAGGCAUCUUGUGGGUUGGAAAGAUAUUUUUUGGUUGGGGAUGGACUCGCGGCCUAUCAGCUUGUUGGUGAGGUAGUGGCUCACCAAGGCUUCGACGGGUAGCCGGCCUGAGAGGGCGACCGGCCACAUUGGGACUGAGAUACGGCCCAAACUCCUACGGGAGGCAGCAGUGGGGAAUAUUGCACAAUGGACGGAAGUCUGAUGCAGCAACGCCGCGUGCGGGAUGACGGCCUUCGGGUUGUAAACCGCUUUCAAUUGUGACGAAGCUUUUUUGUGACGGUAGCAGUAGAAGAAGCACCGGCUAACUACGUGCCAGCAGCCGCGGUGAUACGUAGGGUGCGAGCGUUGUCCGGAUUUAUUGGGCGUAAAGAGCUUGUAGGCGGUUUGUCGCGUCGGGAGUGAAAACUUGGGGCUUAACCCUGAGCUUGCUUUCGAUACGGGCUGACUUGAGGGAGGUAGGGGAGAAUGGAAUUCCUGGUGGAGCGGUGGAAUGCGCAGAUAUCAGGAGGAACACCGGUGGCGAAGGCGGUUCUCUGGACCUUUCCUGACGCUGAGAAGCGAAAGCGUGGGGAGCGAACAGGAUUAGAUACCCUGGUAGUCCACGCCGU
rnacentral:rRNA from 1 species